rnacentral:lncRNA from 1 species
GCCAUGAGGAAGGUAUACCUUUAGCUGAAGUUAUGACACUAACCAACCCCACUGGAUCCAUACUGGUUUGCCUACUGUGAAGAAAAAAAAACAUGUAUUUUCCCACCUUCUUUACUGUCUGCAGCCUUCUCUUGCAGAUGCAUACAUAUUGGAGAGUGACUGACAGAACUGAAGCUCUCUGGGCCUGUUCCCUUCCUCUGCAGCAGCCCAGGAAUGUGGUUCCACAGGAGUUACAAGCCCUGUACUACGCUUAAGGGCAGUGCCACAUGAGGACCCAACAAGGCUUUCAGGUUUAUGACAAAAUAUCAGUAAUUCAGUGCAUUAGUCCUUCAGAGGAUUUCUCAAAGAAUAAGAGGCCAUUGUGCUGUCACCAGACUAAUGGACACUCCACUGCUGCUAUCAGCUCUUCACCAAGCAGUCGGCAAGGAUCUGGAAACACUUCUUGCUGGCAACAUUAAUUGGAGCGGCAGCUAUUCAGCUUGUACAUCCUUGCUUACUCACUAGAGCAUUCUUCUUGUCACAAACUCAAAGCUGACAUCUCUGUUCACAUCAGUACUCUGAGAAUCCCAGUUCUAUAAAUACUUUCCUAAACAAACAUUUUCUAUUUUUAAUGGAUAUGUACAAAAGCUAUUCAAAGGAAAUCAAACCUAAACUAAUAUAUUUAAUUCAGUAAAUUAAUGUAGUAAAGUGUAGUAAAUGUAGUAAAUGUAGUAAAUGUAGUAAUGUAGUAAAAAUGAAAAUAUUGAGAAUGUCAUGAGCUGCAGUGGACUUCAGGACCAGAGUGUCUGUGAUUGGUGAAGCCUGUGUGCAGCCUGUGAAUCUGGAGGUCUCUCUGUACCAUGAGUGCUGCUGCAGUUCAUGGUCUGCUGCUCCUUCUUGCAUGUUGGGCUGGAAGCAAGGCUGAGUCCAUGCUCCAGAGGCACACACAUACACGCACACCUGACACUAAAAUAGCUGCCCAUGAAGACUACCUCAGACAGGCUGCUGACUUCAGCAGCAGCCCAUGGAUACCAACACCACACACAUAAAAUAGUCCAGUCCUGCUCUUCCUUUCUGGCUGAUCAGGGUUAGAGAAUUGAAAGGCUCUAGGGGGACCUUACUGAUAUAUAAAUACCUGCACACAAGGCACCAAGAGGUUGGAGCCAGGUUCUUUUCAGAAGUGUCCACUGCCAGGAUUGGAGGCAGUGGGCACAAAUUGGAAUUGGUGUACAUCUGACUCUCUCAGGAUCAUGCUCCUGGUUUGGAUCAUCAGGAAUGAACCCAGGGUCAUGUAACAUUUCCACCACAG